AUCGUCCCGAGCGCGACCUCAGGUCAGGCGGGGCUACCCGCUGAGUUUAAGCAUAUCAAUAAGCGGAGGA
rnacentral:rRNA from 1 species